GACACAAAAGUGCUCUAAAGUAAGCUAAUGUUAACUGGGGUGGGCUGGGCCUGGCAGGAACCUGAUAGAAUUCAAGCCUGAUAGAAAACAGAGAAGAGGCCUAUAGUCCCAGGCCAUAGAGGUGCCUACAGAGUCCAUUCUGGCAAGUACAAGAAAAAUUCAUGGAAAUUCUUCUCAUGGGACUUGUGGACAAGUCUGCCAGUGCAGAUGGAGUUAAGAAGCAUAAUUCAAUUCUGCUCUUUGCUCCCUUAGACAUCAAAACAUGAUCACAUCUCCAUUCCUACUAGACCUACCUGUGCGAGUGUGAUGGAGUGGAGCGCGCCUGAUCUGCGUGGGUUCACCAAGUUAAACCCCUGGUGUCCACCCAAGUUCUCUGCCAGUGUUCCUGCCACCACAGCUUAGCCACAUGAGGCCGUAAAACAUGAUGACUCAGAUAAUACUGACCUAAACCCAUCCCUUCACACAUCAGCACUGGGAUACUCGUAGCAUGGCAUGCUCAUGUACACAGGUACCACAAAAACCAUGUUACUGACCCAAAAAUCAAAGCUAAAACCGCCCCAGAUGGCAGAAGAAACAACUAUGACCUUUGUGUGAAGUUCAGGAAACCAGAUUCCUAUGGGGUGAGUAGAAGUCUAAUGGGGACAUAUCCAGAAGAGACACCGUGUGGAAUAUAGAACUAUAAAGAUGAUGGAGGUUGGAAGGACAUGGGUAUCCAAGGAAGAGCAAGGCCAAUCUUUUCUGCUCCUCCAGACCUUUUAUUAAAUGUGUUUUAUACAAAUAAGUCUUUACAUAAAUGAACAUUACCUGACUUGAAUAACAGAGCUACAACUUUAGAAGAAUGUAAAAUGAGGAGUGGACAUGCUUGAAAAGCAGGUUUGGAAAGUCAAGUGGAAACAAAUUUUGGAAGAGUGCAAUAAGAGGGCUAAAGUUUAUGUGACAAAAUACUCCAAAAAGGAGAAUCAUGGACAUAAAAGUGUGAUUGUGAGCUCAGCCAAGAAUAAAGAUGCCUAUAAAUGAAAUAAAAUUCAGUCCCAAAAUAUACACAUUUUUUUCUCCCCAAACCAUGAUCAAAUAUUCUUUGAAGUUGACAUAAAAGUGAAUAAUAGCCUUAAACAUUGUGGGUCACUUCAUAAUAUUCAUCUUAAACAAUAGGGAAAUUCUUAGAGCUGAAGUGUUAGGAUGAGGAAUCAAGAUGUUGCUAUGGAAACCAUGUUCACAGCAGCCAUUACAACGAAGGAGACAACCAGAGAGACGGCAUCACGGAGACCUUUCUACCAGAAUUUGAACAAUGCAAUCCAAGUUCAACCC